rnacentral:rRNA from 1 species
GUGGGGAAUUUUCCGCAAUGGGCGAAAGCCUGACGGAGCAACGCCGCGUGGAUGAUGAAGUCUUUCGGGACGUAAAAUCCUUUCAGCAGGGACGAAGCGAGUGACGGUACCUGCAGAAGAAGCAUCGGCUAACUACGUGCCAGCAGCCGCGGUAAUACGUAGGAUGCGAGCGUUGUCCGGAAUUAUUGGGCGUAAAGAGAACGUAGGCGGCCGUCUAAGUUCGGUCUUAAAGACCGGGGCUCAACCCCGGGAAUGGACUGAAGACUGGGCGGCUGGAGGAUGUCAGAGGAAGGUGGAAUUCCCAGUGUAGCGGUGAAAUGCGUAGAUAUUGGGAGGAACACCUGUGGCGAAAGCGGCCUUCUGGGGCAUUCCUGACGCUGAGGUUCGAAAGCUCGGGGAGCAAACAGGAUUAGAUACCCGAGUAGUCC